rnacentral:rRNA from 1 species
AGAGUUUGAUCAUGGCUCAGGACGAACGCUGGCGGCGUGCCUAAUACAUGCAAGUCGAGCGAUGGUUUCGAGGAGCUUGCUCCUUGGAACGAUAGCGGCGGACGGGUGAGUAACACGUAGGCAACCUGCCCUGAAGACUGGGAUAACUGGCGGAAACGUCAGCUAAUACCGGAUAGGCUCUAUCCUCGCCUGGGGAAAGAGAGAAAGGCGCGAAUGCGCCGCUUGAGGAUGGGCCUGCGUCGCAUUAGCUAGUUGGUGGGGUAAGGGCUCACCAAGGCGACGAUGCGUAGCCGACCUGAGAGGGUGAUCGGCCACACUGGGACUGAGACACGGCCCAGACUCCUACGGGAGGCAGCAGUAGGGAAUCUUCGGCAAUGGACGAAAGUCUGACCGAGCAACGCCGCGUGAGUGAGGAAGGCCCUCGGGUCGUAAAGCUCUGUUGCCAGGGAAGAAGACGUGAGAGAGGAAAUGCUCUUGCGGUGACGGUACCUGAGAAGAAAGCCCCGGCUAACUACGUGCCAGCAGCCGCGGUAAUACGUAGGGGGCAAGCGUUGUCCGGAUUUAUUGGGCGUAAAGCGCGCGCAGGCGGUCUCUUAAGUCUGAUGUGAAAUCUCGCGGCUCAACCGUGAGCGGUCAUUGGAAACUGAGAGACUUGAGUACAGAAGAGGAGAGUGGAAUUCCACGUGUAGCGGUGAAAUGCGUAGAGAUGUGGAGGAACACCAGUGGCGAAGGCGACUCUCUGGUCUGUAACUGACGCUGAGGCGCGAAAGCGUGGGGAGCGAACAGGAUUAGAUACCCUGGUAGUCCACGCCGUAAACGAUGAGUGCUAGGUGUUAGGGGUUUCGAUGCCCUUAGUGCCGAAGUUUAACACAUUAAGCACUCCGCCUGGGGAGUACGACCGCAAGGUUGAAACUCAAAGGAAUUGACGGGGGCCCGCACAAGCAGUGGAGCAUGUGGUUUAAUUCGAAGCAACGCGAAGAACCUUACCAGGUCUUGACAUCCUUUGACCACCCUAGAGAUAGGGCUUUCCCCUUCGGGGGACAAAGUGACAGGUGGUGCAUGGUUGUCGUCAGCUCGUGUCGUGAGAUGUUGGGUUAAGUCCCGCAACGAGCGCAACCCUUGAUCUUAGUUGCCAGCAUUUAGUUGGGCACUCUAAGGUGACUGCCGGUGACAAACCGGAGGAAGGUGGGGAUGACGUCAAAUCAUCAUGCCCCUUAUGACCUGGGCUACACACGUGCUACAAUGGAUGGUACAAAGGGAAGCGAUACCGCGAGGUUUAGCCAAUCCCAUAAAGCCAUUCUCAGUUCGGAUUGCAGGCUGCAACUCGCCUGCAUGAAGCCGGAAUUGCUAGUAAUCGUGGAUCAGCAUGCCACGGUGAAUACGUUCCCGGGCCUUGUACACACCGCCCGUC